UACGUAGGGUGCGAGCGUUGUCCGGAAUUAUUGGGCGUAAAGGGCUCGUAGGCGGUCUGUCGCGUCGGGAGUGAAAACUCAGGGCUUAACCCUGAGCCUGCUUCCGAUACGGGCAGACUAGAGGUAUGCAGGGGAGAACGGAAUUCCUGGUGUAGCGGUGAAUUGCGCAGAUAUCUGGAGGAACACCAGUGGCGAAGGCGACUCUUUGGCCUGUAACUGACGCUGAGGCGCGAAAGCGUGGGGAGCAAACAGG
rnacentral:rRNA from 1 species